GACGAACGCUGGCGGCGUGCUUAACACAUGCAAGUCGAACGGUGAUCCAUCAGCUUGCUGGUGGUGAUCAGUGGCGAACGGGUGAGUAACACGUGAGUAACCUGCCCCUGACUCUGGAAUAACCCCGGGAAACCGGGGCUAAUACCGGAUAUGACAUCAUCCCGCAUGGGUGUGGUGUGGAAAGUUUUUUCGGUUGGGGAUGGGCUCGCGGCCUAUCAGCUUGUUGGUGAGGUAGUGGCUCACCAAGGCGACGACGGGUAGCCGGCCUGAGAGGGCGACCGGCCACACUGGGACUGAGACACGGCCCAGACUCCUACGGGAGGCAGCAGUGGGGAAUAUUGCACAAUGGGCGGAAGCCUGAUGCAGCGACGCCGCGUGAGGGAUGACGGCCUUCGGGUUGUAAACCUCUUUCAGCUCUGAAGAAGCGAAAGUGACGGUAGGAGCAGAAGAAGCACCGGCUAACUACGUGCCAGCCGCCGCAGUAAUAC
rnacentral:rRNA from 1 species